rnacentral:lncRNA from 1 species
CAGGGGACCCACCCCUCCGAAUGUCCUGUCAUGAGACACCUGCCACACAAGACUCAGUCCAGCAGUCAAGACUCAUAAAAGUGGCUCUCUUUCUUUAACAAUUGCAGCACACACAGAGAUGACUGACAGACUGUUCUCAUGUGGACCGAAGGCUCUACACUGGUCCAGGCUCAGGGGAAAGGUGACCAACUCACCGGACAAAGGUCAACUGGAAAGAGCAUGCUGAAAAAGAGAAACAGGAGAAGUUGACUGGGCUUGGGAAUCAGCUUCCUCAGGAGGGCAGUGACACUGCUCAAUUUCCCAUGAAUCCGAUUUUUAAUACGUGGUCCAAGGGGUGGAGCUUUGUGUCCUGUGUCCAGUUAAGGAAAUUUAAAA